GACGAACGCUGGCGGCGUGCCUAAUACAUGCAAGUAGAACGCACAGUUUAUACCGUAGCUUGCUACGCCAUAGACUGUGAGUUGCGAACGGGUGAGUAACGCGUAGGUAACCUGCCUGGUAGCGGGGGAUAACUAUUGGAAACGAUAGCUAAUACCGCAUAAUAUUGAUUAUUGCAUGAUAAUUAAUUGAAAGGUGCAAUUGCACCACUACCAGAUGGACCUGCGUUGUAUUAGCUAGUAGGUGAGGUAACGGCUCACCUAGGCGACGAUACAUAGCCGACCUGAGAGGGUGAUCGGCCACACUGGGACUGAGACACGGCCCAGACUCCUACGGGAGGCAGCAGUAGGGAAUCUUCGGCAAUGGACGAAAGUCUGACCGAGCAACGCCGCGUGAGUGAAGAAGGUUUUCGGAUCGUAAAGCUCGGUUGUAAGAGAAGAACGGGUGUGAGAGUGGAAAGUUCACACUGUGACGGUAUCUUACCAGAAAGGGACGGCUAACUACGUG
rnacentral:rRNA from 1 species